AAAGGACAUUCGCUCGAAUAAUUUUACUUCCUUCGUCACGUAAUUAUAGGAGUUCGUUCAAACCUUAUUAUAUACAAAAGUGGAAAAACAAAAUGAAAUAUAAAAGAUUAUUUAUAGUUAUAUUUUUUUAAGUUCAACGAAUUUCAAACUUGUCAUUAAUUUGUGCAUAUAGUUAUAGAUUUAUUAAGAAACUUUCAAUCAUCACUUCUUACCAGAUUGCAAGAUCGCAUGGACAAAAUGGAAUAUCCCUUUGUUUAUUUUAAAAAGGUGAAAAAGAUUUCUCUCGCUAGCCAACUGGUCCCAGGUGUGUACACUGGGAGCGUGGCAGACGCGUGCUUCUCCCCUCUUUAACCUCAGACGAAGGCAGUUGGUCUUACUUGCUUUUUCAUUCUUUCUACUAAUAUACUAUACAUAUACAUUAUACCUAAAAUAAACGUAUAAGUGUCAUGCUA